AGGGAAGCCACGCGUCCGGGGAGCGCACAGCGAGUCCCGGCCCGCGUCACGCUGCUCCGAUCCGCGCGCAGGUCGCUGGGCGCUCGCUCCCCUGGGACUUGCCCAGACCUGGCUUGAGUCCCCCGGGCAGGAAGCAAAAUUCUGGAAGGCAGUUUGGACAACAAUGCGCAAGGGCUCCAGGGUCUCCCGGCCUCACCAGCGCCCCUAUAUCUAUUCUGGUAGAGCCAUCCGGAGAGGAAUCAGGGGACGAAGGUUCAAUCCCUGGUCAGAGAACCAAGAUCCCACCUACUGAGGAGCAACUGAGCCUGUGUGUGCGGCAAAAAGAGAGUCUGGGCGCCGCAACAAAGAUCCUGCAUGACCCAGUGAAGAGCCUGCAUGCCGCAACUAAAAUCCGAUGCAGCCAAUAAACAAAUAUUUUUUUAAAAAGAAAGAAAUCCUGAGAUUUGUGGAUUCAACAUGGAUCAAACCUGAAGACAUUAUGCUAAGUGAAAUAAGCCAGUUGUAGGAAGACAAAUACUGCAUGAUUUCCCAUAUGAGGUACCUAAAAUCGUCAGAGUGGAAUGGUGGUUGCCAGGGAUGGGGGUGGAGGGAAGAAGAAAUGGGGAAUUACUAAUCAACAAGCAUAAAGUUUCAGUUAAGCUAAAUACAGAAGCUCCAGAGAUCUGCUGAACAAUGUUGUAUUUAUAGUCAGUAACAUUACACACGUAAAGGAUGGUUAAGAGAGGAGCGCUCAUGUUAAGUAUUCUUACCAUAAUUAAAAAAACAAAACACCUCAGGAGAAGCGAUGCUUAGCCCUUCCUUCAUACCAAAGACCUCU